GCCUGGGUGGCUCAAUGGGUGAGCAUCCUACUUCGGCUCAGGUCAUGAUCUCAUGGUUUGUGGGUUCGAGCCCCACUUCGGGCU
rnacentral:tRNA from 1 species